rnacentral:rRNA from 1 species
GACGAACGCUGGCGGCGUGCUUAACACAUGCGAGACGAACGGAAAGGCCCUGCUUUUGUGGGGUGCUCGAGUGGCGAACGGGUGAGUAACACGUGAGUAACCUGCCCUUGACUUUGGGAUAACUUCAGGAAACUGGGGCUAAUACCGGAUAGGAGCUCCUGCUGCAUGGUGGGGGUUGGAAAGUUUCGGCGGUUGGGGAUGGACUCGCGGCUUAUCAGCUUGUUGGUGGGGUAGUGGCUUACCAAGGCUUUGACGGGUAGCCGGCCUGAGAGGGUGACCGGCCACAUUGGGACUGAGAUACGGCCCAGACUCCUACGGGAGGCAGCAGUGGGGAAUAUUGCACAAUGGGCGGAAGCCUGAUGCAGCAACGCCGCGUGCGGGAUGACGGCCUUCGGGUUGUAAACCGCUUUCGCCUGUGACGAAGCGUGAGUGACGGUAAUGGGUAAAGAAGCACCGGCUAACUACGUG